CUCACAGUUUAGAAAAUUACUGUUUUCCCUUGGAGGCUCUUUCCUUUAUUACGCGGACCACUUUAAACUGUACAGUGGAUUCUGUGCUAACCAUAUCAAAGUACAGAAGGUUCUGGAGCGAGCUAAAACUGACAAAGCCUUCAAGGCUUUUCUGGACGCCCGGAACCCCACCAAGCAGCAUUCCUCCACGCUGGAGUCCUACCUCAUCAAGCCGGUUCAGAGAGUGCUCAAGUACCCGCUGCUGCUCAAGGAGCUGGUGUCCCUGACGGACCAGGAGAGCGAGGAGCACUACCACCUGACGGAGCACUUCUCCCGGGAAAUACCCACACCCCGGCUUGGCAGAUUUUGCCGACAAUCUCAUCAAAGAGAGUGACAUCCUGAGCGAUGAAGAUGAUGACCACCGUCAGACUGUGAAGCAGGGCAGCCCUACUAAAGACAUCGAAAUUCAGUUCCAGAGACUGAGGAUUUCCGAGGACCCAGACGUUCACCCCGAGGCUGAGCAGCAGCCUGGCCCGGAGUCGGGUGAGGGUCAGAAAGGAGGAGAGCAGCCCAAACUGGUCCGGGGGCACUUCUGCCCCAUUAAACGAAAAGCCAACAGCACCAAGAGGGACAGAGGAACUUUGCUCAAGGCGCAGAUCCGUCACCAGUCCCUUGACAGUCAGUCUGAAAAUGCCACCAUCGACCUAAAUUCUGUUCUAGAGCGAGAAUUCAGUGUCCAGAGUUUAACAUCUGUUGUCAGUGAGGAGUGUUUUUAUGAAACAGAGAGCCACGGAAAAUCAUAGUAUGAUUCAAUCCAGAUAUGGGUUAAAUUCCUCAUUUUACUUUUAAACUGGUGGUAAAGUGGAAAUUGCAAAAAAAAAAAAAAAAAAAAACUGUUCAUUCCUGGGUUUUGUGCAGUAUACAUUUUCCCACAAAAUGGUUGUAAAGAUUUAAGUUAUUUUAAUUUAUUGUGGAUCAGAAACCUAGAUGAAACUGGUCAGAAUCUGUAAAUUACUUAGUUUAUAUCCACUUUGAGCAGGUAUCAAAUGAUUUAGGAUCCUUAAAAUUACAUUCUAAUAAUUAAGUUAUGUGGAAAAAGUAAGGCUGGGGAAGUCGUGAUUAAUAGUUUUCAAAGGGCCAUUUUUUAAAAUCCUCUGGGCAUUUUCUUUCAGCUGUUUGUUAGUUUUUGCUUUAUUUAAAGCAUAUUUAAGUUAUUUUAAUGUGGUUUAGGGGCAAAAUGUGCAGAUACUUCAUUUUUGUAAGAUAGAUUGUAAUAGAUGCUGUUUAUACUAAACAUGUCAUAACUAUCUAUACAGUAUAUAUUAAAAGAAAGCUUGUACUGUAUCUUAUUUGAUGAUAUUUAUUUUCUCUGCCAAGCUGUAUAGUAAAAGGAAAAUAAGUC
rnacentral:lncRNA from 1 species